rnacentral:rRNA from 1 species
GGAUGACGGCCUUCGGGUUGUAAACCUCCUUCAGCAGGGACGAAGCGCAAGUGACGGUACCUGCAGAAGAAGCACCGGCUAACUACGUGCCAGCAGCCGCGGUAAUACGUAGGGUGCAAGCGUUGUCCGGAAUUACUGGGCGUAAAGAGUUCGUAGGCGGUUUGUCGCGUCGUUUGUGAAAACCAGCAGCUCAACUGCUGGCUUGCAGGCGAUACGGGCAGACUUGAGUACUGCAGGGGAGACUGGAAUUCCUGGUGUAGCGGUGAAAUGCGCAGAUAUCAGGAGGAACACCGGUGGCGAAGGCGGGUCUCUGGGCAGUAACUGACGCUGAGGAACGAAAGCGUGGGUAGCGAACAGGAUUAGAUACCCUGGUAGUCCACGCCGUAAACGGUGGGCGCUAGGUGUGGGUUCCUUCCACGGAAUCCGUGCCGUAGCUAACGCAUUAAGCGCCCCGCCUGGGGAGUACGGCCGCAAGGCUAAAACUCAAAGGAAUUGACGG